UACGUAGGGUGCAAGCGUUGUCCGGAAUUAUUGGGCGUAAAGAGCUCGUAGGCGGUUUGUCGCGUCGACUGUGAAAACCCGAGGCUUAACCUCGGGCCUGCAGUCGAUACGGGCAGACUAGAGGUAGGUAGGGGAGAUCGGAAUUCCUGGUGUAGCGGUGAAAUGCGCAGAUAUCAGGAGGAACACCGGUGGCGAAGGCGGAUCUCUGGGCCUUACCUGACGCUGAGGCGCGAAAGCUAGGGGAGCAAACAGG
rnacentral:rRNA from 1 species